rnacentral:lncRNA from 1 species
GAGACCGCCAUGGUGACUUGCAAGCAACUCACUGCACUUAGGCACUGGACUACCUGAAUUUUUAAUUCAGUGACAGAAGGCUGCUGGGUGUAGUCAAGUACUUGACUUGUCGGUGCGUGUGUCAAGAUGGGAUUAACCACUCCAGUUCAGGAGCUGUGUACAGUCGUAUUUCAAUUUAGUAAAAUUGUAGCCAGGGUAGUCCUAGUGAGGAGUCAUAGGACUGUUUGAGUUGAGCACGAUUCGGAUGAUCUAAUCAAGGUUGACGGUUUAACCCUG